AAAUCCGGUUCACUUUAACACUGAGGCGUGACGACGAGGCACUACGGUGCUGAAGCAACAAAUGCCCUGCUUCCAGGAAAAGCCUCUAAGCAUCAGGUAACAUCAAAUCGUACCCCAAACCGACACAGGUGGUCAGGUAGAGAAUACCAAGGCGCUUGAGAGAACUCGGGUGAAGGAACUAGGCAAAAUGGUGCCGUAACUUCGGGAGAAGGCACGCUGACACGUAGGUGAAGUGAUUUACUCAUGGAGCUGAAGUCAGUCGAAGAUACCAGCUGGCUGCAACUGUUUAUUAAAAACACAGCACUGUGCAAACACGAAAGUGGACGUAUACGGUGUGACGCCUGCCCGGUGCCGGAAGGUUAAUUGAUGGGGUCAGCGCAAGCGAAGCUCCUGAUCGAAGCCCCGGUAAACGGCGGCCGUAACUAUAACGGUCCUAAGGUAGCGAAAUUCCUUGUCGGGUAAGUUCCGACCUGCACGAAUGGCGUAAUGAUGGCCAGGCUGUCUCCACCCGAGACUCAGUGAAAUUGAACUCGCUGUGAAGAUGCAGUGUACCCGCGGCAAGACGGAAAGACCCCGUGAACCUUUACUAUAGCUUGACACUGAACAUUGAGCCUUGAUGUGUAGGAUAGGUGGGAGGCUUUGAAGUGUGGACGCCAGUCUGCAUGGAGCCGACCUUGAAAUACCACCCUUUAAUGUUUGAUGUUCUAACGUGGACCCGUUACCCGGGUUGCGGACAGUGUCUGGUGGGUAGUUUGACUGGGGCGGUCUCCUCCUAAAGAGUAACGGAGGAGCACGAAGGUUGGCUAAUCCUGGUCGGACAUCAGGAGGUUAGUGCAAUGGCAUAAGCCAGCUUGACUGCGAGCGUGACGGCGCGAGCAGGUGCGAAAGCAGGUCAUAGUGAUCCGGUGGUUCUGAAUGGAAGGGCCAUCGCUCAACGGAUAAAAGGUACUCCGGGGAUAACAGGCUGAUACCGCCCAAGAGUUCAUAUCGACGGCGGUGUUUGGCACCUCGAUGUCGGCUCAUCACAUCCUGGGGCUGAAGUAGGUCCCAAGGGUAUGGCUGUUCGCCAUUUAAAGUGGUACGCGAGCUGGGUUUAGAACGUCGUGAGACAGUUCGGUCCCUAUCUGCCGUGGGCGCUGGAGAACUGAGGGGGGCUGCUCCUAGUACGAGAGGACCGGAGUGGACGCAUCACUGGUGUUCGGGUUGUCAUGCCAAUGGCACUGCCCGGUAGCUAAAUGCGGAAGAGAUAAGUGCUGAAAGCAUCUAAGCACGAAACUUGCCCCGAGAUGAGUUCUCCCUGAGACUUUAGGUCUCCUGAAGGAACG
rnacentral:rRNA from 1 species